GAUGAACGCUGGCGGCGUGCCUAAUACAUGCAAGUCGAGCGAACAGACGAGGAGCUUGCUCCUCUGACGUUAGCGGCGGACGGGUGAGUAACACGUGGAUAACCUACCUAUAAGACUGGGAUAACUUCGGGAAACCGGAGCUAAUACCGGAUAAUAUAUUGAACCGCAUGGUUCAAUAGUGAAAGACGGUUUUGCUGUCACUUAUAGAUGGAUCCGCGCCGCAUUAGCUAGUUGGUAAGGUAACGGCUUACCAAGGCAACGAUGCGUAGCCGACCUGAGAGGGUGAUCGGCCACACUGGACCUGAGAACCGGUCCAGACUCCUACGGGAGGCAGCAGUAGGGAAUCUUCCGCAAUGGGCGAAAGCUUGACGGAGCAACGCCGCGUGAGUGAUGAAGGUCUUCGGAUCGUAAAACUCUGUUAUUAGGGAAGAACAAAUGUGUAAGUAACUAUGCACGUCUUGACGGUACCUAAUCAGAAAGCCACGGCUAACUACGUG
rnacentral:rRNA from 1 species